GUACGAUAAAGGCAAACCCUGAGUGAUCAGGGGGCGCAAAGUAGUGGAUCUUUAAACCUACAAGGAAGUGGUUUAGAAAUACUAUUUCCAGGAAUAAAGACAGCCUUACUGCCAAA
rnacentral:ncRNA from 1 species